ensembl:lncRNA
CCCCCAUCCCACCGCCUUUAUCUCCUGCACCAUCUGUUUCUAGAAAUGUGCUUUGCUCCUUCCCAUGGAGAACCAACUCUCUCUGCCCUUGGUUCCCUCCAGCUCCCCUAUCUCCUCCUUCCUAGCCAAAGUUCUCAGUUUCCACUCCUUAUCUCUCAUUAUCUCCUCAAACCACACCAAUUAACUUCUGUCUCCACCCCUUGCUUAAUGGAAACAGCUCUAUUCAGCAUCACAAUACCUUUGCUAAACCCAGAAGUUAGGUCCUCUCCUUCAGCCCCUCCCAUCCUUCAGCUCAGUGGCCGCCCGCCUCCUACCACAGGCUCCCAUCGCCUAGCCUGCUCCGCUUUUCCUUCCACCUCCCUGGUUGUGCCUCAGUUUACUUGGCCAAUCCCACUUUCUCUGCUCAGCUGCUAAGUCAUCUCCAAUGGCCACUGGGCUCGGCCUAUGACUUCUUCUGGCCAGUGAAAUGCAGGAGGGAAUGACAUCACCACACUUUUUCCUUUUCCGUGUUAACCAGCAAUAUUCAAAAAUCGACCUGGGUCCCAGAGAAAAAUGGUGGGAAGCAGAGCCACACCCAACCCACAGCAGACAUACAACAGAAGUGAGCACCGUUUCCUGUGUGAACUCACUGCGGUUUGUGGGGGAGCUUUUUACCACAGUAUAAUCUAGCCUCUCCUGACUACAUACACCUCAUAAGGUCGUGAAAUCCAAUAAGGCCCACAACUAAUCUCUUUCCCAACCUCCUCUGCAUGUAGAAGUGGCCACAUGACUGACUGGCAGCCAAUUGAUGGGAGUGGAUGUAGCUGGUGCCAGUUCCCUGCCAUCCAAUAAACCAGCCUUGAGCAGUCCUCCCACUGCACCUCUGCCUACGUGAGAUGCAAGCAAGCAAGGUCCGCUUGGAAGAUCUGUGUUGAAAAUCGUUCCCACUUGGCUGAAUUUCCUGGUGGCUCAGAUGGAAAAGAAUCUGCCUGCAAUGCAAGAUUUCUGGGUUUGGUACCUGGAUUGGGAAGAUCCCCUGGAGGAGGAAAUGGCAACCCACUCCAGUAUUCUUGCCUGGAGAAUUCCAUGGACAGAGGAGUCCGGUGGACUACAGUCCAUGGCGUGGCAAAGAGUCAGACAUACUGAGUACUAACACCGUAGUACACUUGCUUAGUUUACAUGAAUAGACAUAUCUGAUGUCUGUAUAAAUGGUUAGGGC